rnacentral:lncRNA from 1 species
GGCCGUCUCCUUUUAAUCCUCGUGAUCAGAGCCUCUCGAUCGGCCGAUUUCCAUCAACUCCCUUCGCCGAAACACUGCGGCACCAAUCAGCCGACCCUCAACUGUAGCACCAAUCGGCCGAUUUCCAAUCGUGACCUCCGCGCUUCGCCGCAUCACCUGAUUCCUUCCCUUCUUGAUGCCGAUUUCAUACGUGUCAAAAUCUGGCAUCAACAAGAGGCUUAUGUGAAGUCAAGGAUAGGUUACAUGAAGACCAACAAGGUGGCUGUCCAAGCUGACACAAGUUACAUGCGCAAGACCUUGAGUUGAGACACGUUACAUGCGCAAGACCUUGAAAAAAAAAGAGAAGCGUCGGAAAGAAAGAAGAACUAUCAGAUUGUUGAUAUGCACAAGUGUUGAACCUGCACAUCAAGUUGCGUAAUAAGUGUGCUAUCCUUCUAUUGGUGCAUUUCUUGCUAGGUGAGUUUCAAUGUAACCCGCCACUCCCUAGCGUAACCCUUGUUUGCGUCAAUUCUGAAAUUUCGUUUGCGCGGGUGUUGCUUUGGUUACAUCAUUCAUAUCUCGUGAUCAGCACUAGGCAUUGGAUCUCUAGUUUGGCUUGCUACUUACCUUUACAACAACUAGAAUUCAGAUUGCUCCUUGUGCAUCUUUCCCCACCGAGCUCCACAGAUAAGCCAUUGUAAACUAAACACAAGCCGUGUAUUCGCUUAACCAUCACUCUUUUUACCACCACACAUAGUACUUUUGUAAUCUGCAAGCGAAGUUGUGAGAUCCACAUAAUUUUCCAUUCCACGUAUACUUGUUGUUCGUGUUUUUACUAACCAUUCUGGAAGAUGUUUGAACAACCCGACCUUGAAGAUUGUGUCACCAUGGUACAAUUCAAUGAAAUGAGGGGAAGCAUAGAGGAGAGACAAAAUAGAUUAUCCAAUGAUUUGCAAGCCAUUAUAGAGCAGCUACGACAUAUUCCUCGUGCACCUGAAAAUGCAAGUAACCAUGAAGAUGGAGUUGAAGAAACCGAAGAAGAAGCUACUGAUUGACUUGCUAGAGAACAACAAGAAUGUCGAGAGCGAGCUGCUCUCCAUGCUAGGAGACCUGCAGUCCAGGGUGUGGAAAUGGAGGUAAUGGAGGUGGUCAUGGAAGAGGAAGAGGUCGUGGAAAUGAAGGUCAUGACCAUGCUGAAUUUGAUGAUGAGUACGAAGAAGAAGAGGUUGAACAGCCCCAAAAUUAUGGCCGUCAUCAUCGAGGCAAUCAUGAACGUAACCAGCCCAAUGAGGAGAGGUUUGGCAAGUUAAAAUUCACCAUUCCCAAAUUUGAUGGAGGAUCUGAUCUGGAAACUUAUCUCACAUGGGAGUUGAAGGUUGAUAAAAUUUUUUGCUUGCAUAAUUACUCUGAAGAGAAGAAGAUGGCAAUGGCUGCACUUGAGUUUGAUGACUAUGCUCUAAUCUGGUGGGAGAAAAUGCUCAAUGAUAGAGAAGAAGCAAUCAAUGUAUUUGAAGAUCAAGAGCAAUCAAUUGCAAGAUUCAUGUCUGGUUUACAUCGCAAUAUUCAGCGCAUUGUUGAAUUUCAGCCGUACCACAAUCUUAUUGAGUUGGUACAUCAAGCAAGCAAAGCUGAGCGCCAAUUGCAGCAAGACAUGAAGAGCAAUAGAGGAGGUUCAUUCAGUGCAAAGGUUACCCCAAGUGGAAGAAAAUUUACACCAAGAAGUAAUGCAAAUCGAGUGCAAUCACCAACUCAAGUGGUGGUUCACGCUCUACUUCGCAUGCUGCUUCCAGUGGGAAAGACUUGGCUGCUCAAAGUGAGAAGAGCAAACCUGCAACAUCAUCAUCUACAUCAAUGACUUCCACAGCAAAAAGUAGUGGAAUUCAAUGUUUCAAGUGUGGAGGUCGUGGUCAUGUUAUAAGGGAGUGCUCAAACAACCGUACCAUCAUUGUCAAUGACCAUGGAGAGUAUGAAUCUACUAGUGGAAGGAGCAUGAAACUAUUAAUGAAGAACAACUUGAGGAUGCUAUUAAAAAUGAAUAUCAGCCCUUAUGUGAAUUUGAGAGAGGUGUUGCUCUUGUUGUAACUCAAAUUUUGAGUGUGCAAAUGAAGGGCGGCACAAUUUAUUCCAAACAAGAGCCAAGGUUGAAGGCAAGGUAUGCAAGGUGAUCAUUGAUGGUGGAAGCUGCCACAAUCUUGCUAGCCGUGAGAUGGUUGAUGAACUUGGCUUGAAGUUGCUGCGACAUCCUCAUCCAUAUCAUGUACAAUGGUUAAAUGAUAUUGAAGAUAUCAAGAUUGGAUAUAGGGUGAAAGUUCCAUUCAAAGUUGGUGAAUAUGUUAACACCAUAGAGUGUGAUGUGGCGCCAAUGACAGUAUGCCAUCUGCUGUUGGGAAGGCCAUGGCAAUAUAACUGUUCACCUCUACAUUGUGGUCGCACAAAUCAAUACACCAUCAAGUGGAAGGGAAAGAGCUUGAUACUUAAGCCAAUGGCACCUCAACAAAUCCUAGCUGAACACUUGCAAAAGAGCUCUAAAGUAAAGGGUGAGAGUGAGAAAGAAAGAGAGAAAAAUAAUUUGAUUGUGGUCCACAAAUCGGUAAGUGAGAGCCACAAGCCAAAUGAGAGAGAUCAAAAGAAAAGAGAGGGGAAUAAUCUGAUAAUGUUAGUCACCAAAUCGAGAGAUGUGAGGCGCAACCCAUACCAAACAUUCAUUGUACUUGUGUACAAAGACAAAUUGCUUUCAGCUAACAACAUAAGAUCUCUUCCUAGUGUUAUUUCACAUCUUUUGCAGGACUACAAGGAUGUCUUUCCAGAGAAAACCCUUGCUGGACUGCCACCAUUGUGAGGCAUUAAGCAUCAAAUUGAUCUCAUUCCAGGGGCUGCAUCGCCCAAUCGUCCAUGUACCGCACCAAUCUGAAAUAAACAAAGGAAAUUCAAAGGCAAGUACAAGCACUUUUAGAUAAAAGUUUUGUGUAUGAAAGCGUAAGUCCUUGUGAUAUCCCUGUUAUUUUGGUUCCAAAGAAAGAUGGUACAUGAAGAAUGUGUGUGGAUUGUAGAGCCAUCAAUAAUAUCACUAUUCUCUAUCGACAUCCUAUUCCUAGGCUAGAUGAUAUGCUUGAUGAAUUGAGUGGUUCUAUGAUAUUUUCCAAAUUGAUUUGCGUGGUGGUUACCAUCAAAUUCGAAUGAAAAUUGGAGAUGAGUGGAAAACUGCUUUCAAAACAAAGUUUGGGCUAUAUGAAGGGUUAGUUGCCUUUUGGUUUGACUAAUGCCCCUAGCACUUUCAUGAGAUUGAUGAAUCAUGUCUUGAGAGUUUUCAUUGGAAAAUUUGUUGUUGUUUACUUUGAUGACAUCUUAAUUUACAGCAAGACAUUGGAGGAACAUGCUGAGCACAUACAAGUUUUGGAUGUGCUUAGAAAGAACAAUUGUUUGCUAACCUUGAGAAGUGCACCAUUUGCACACAUCAAGUUGUGUUUCUUGGUUUUGUUGUCUCUGGACAAGAAAUUCAAGUGGGCGAAUCCAAGGUUGCAGCAAUCAAGGAAUGGCCAACACCUGAGAAUGUAAGACAAGUGAGAAGUUUUCAUGGCCUUGCUGGUUUUUAUAGAAGAUUUGUCAAAGAGUUCAGUACCGUCACUGCUCCAUUAAACGAGUUGAUGAAGAAAGGUGUUGUGUUCAAAUGGGGUGAGCCACAAGAAAAAGCUUUCCAUGAAUUGAAGAAACGGUUGACGAAAGCACCCCUACUUGUGUUGCCAAAUUUCACAAAAACCUUUGAGGUUGAAUGUGAUGCAAGUGGGAUUGGAAUUGGAGGAGUGCUCAUGAAAGAUGCAAAACCAGUUGCAUACUUCAGCGAGAAGUUGGGAGGAGCACAGCUGAAUUACUCCGUGUAUGAUAAGGAAUUGUACACUUUGGUAAGAGUAAGAGUAUUUGAGACUUGGCAACAUUAUUUGUGACCAAAAGAAUUUGUUAUCCAUUCAGAUCAUGAAGCUUUGCAACACUUGAAAGGCUAAGCUAAACUGAACCGUCGACAUGCCAAGUGGGUUGAAUUUAUUGAGACUUUCCCAUACAUUGUGAAGUAUGAGAUAGGUAAAGAUAACAUUGUUACUGAUGCUUUAUCCCGCAAAAAAUAUUCUGUUGAAUCAACUUGAGGUAAAAGUGAUGGGAAUAGAGAGCAUAAAAAAAUUAUACUCUGUUGUUUAUGAAUUUUAAGAACCUUAUGCCAAAUGUACAACAGGGAAAGGAUGGGAAAAAUACCACAUGCAUGAUGGAUUUUUAUUUCGAGCUAACAAAAUUAUGUGUUCCAAAUUGUUCUGUUAGACUUUUGUUGCUGUAGGAAGCACAUGCAGGUGGUUUGAUGGGUCAUUUUGGGCGAGAUAAGACCUAUGAGAUGCUGGGCGACCACUUCUAUUGGCCAAAGAUGAGAAGAGACGUUGCGAGACUUGUGCAGUGUUGUGUCACAUGCCACAAAGCUAAGUCAAAGCAGAACACUCAUGGCUUAUACACUCCAUUGCUUAUUCCUAGUGUUCAUUGGGAGGGCAUUAGCAUUGAUUUUGUUUUGGGUUUACCUAGGACAAAGAGGGGGAGGGAUUCCAUUUUUAUGGUUGUUGAUAGGUUCUCAAAAAUGGCGCAUUUCAUACCCUGUAAUAAAAGUGAUGAUGCUUCCCACAUAGCUACUUUAUUUUUUAGGAAAAUUGUGAGGUUGCACAGAAUGCCAUGGACCAUUUUUUCAGAUCGUGACACUAAGUUUGUGAGUUAUUUUUGGAAGACACUUUGGGCAAAACUUGGAACGAAGCUGCUGUUUUCUACCACAUGUCAUCCGCAAAUAGAUGGACAAACUGAGGUGGUGAAUCGAACACUUUCAAUGCUAUUGCGAGCUGUGAUAAAAAAACAAUUUGAAGGAGUGGGAAGAGUGUUUGCCGCAUGUUGAAUUUGCAUAUAAUAGGGCAAUACACUCUACAACCAAAAUGUGUCCAUUCAAAAUUGUUUAUAGUUUCAAACCAAAUACUCCCAUAGAUUUGUUGCCAUUACCUUUGCAGGAACGAAGUAACAUGGAAGCCUCCAAGCGUGCUGCAUACAUAAAGAAGAUACAUGAGAAGACCAAGGAAGAACUUGAUAAGAAGGUGAAGUAUUUUGCAGCCAAGGCAAACAAGCAUCAGAAGAAAGUGAUAUUUGAACAGGGUGAUCUAGUUUGGGUACAUCCACGUAAGGAUCGCUUUCCUGAAAGGUGUAAAUCAAAGUUGAUGCCACGAGGAGAUGGUCCAUUCAAAGUGAUGGCACGAAUCAAUGACAAUGCAUACAAGAUUGACCUUCCUGAAGAUUAUGGUGUCAGUACAACAUUCAAUGUUGCUGAUCUAUAACCAUUCAUGGGCUUAGAAGAAUUAGAGUAGAGGAUGACUCCUUUUCAAGAGGGGGAGGAUGAUACGGACACCCCCCCCCCCCCCCAAUCCUAAAACAUCAUACGUAAACCAUGAACCAGUUACACAAGUGGAUGAACAAGCCACACCAAACAAUGUAAACCAAGGGCCGGUUACACGAAGUCGUGCCAAGAAGCUACAACAAGAGGUGAAUUCUCUCCUUGCUGAAUUUAAGUUACACACGAAUGAGAAUUGUUUACUAUCUAAGUGUUGUACUCUUAUUAUUUUAAGGUUUACACAUGAGGUCAUAGAUGACACUCGGUGGAGAAAGGUUACAUGAAAAAAGAAGAGGCUUAUGUGAAGUCAAGGAUAGGUUACAUGAAGACCAACAAGGUGGCUGUCCAAGCUGAGACAAGUUACAUGCGCAGGACCUUGAGUUGAGACAGGUUACACCUUCAACUUCUCGUGCAAGUCUGUACCAAUCUGCAAGGACUCGCGGUACAUGAUACACAUGAUUGGAAGCUCACUCAAGUCUAGUU